rnacentral:lncRNA from 1 species
CGGGAUACAUUGAAAUACAAUAAAUAAAAAAACAGAGAAUACAAUAAAAUAUAUGAAAUACAGAGACAAGUAUAGAUGGUCGAUUAAAAUCCGAUGCAGAGCUCGAGUUCAGUAGUUUAUUCAGGAAGGCAUGUUGCCUGAAAACAUUGUGAAUUUUUGGUACGACAAAUGUUACGGUGACGAAUGAGGCUGAUGAAUUGGGAAGCAUUGAGAUUGAAAGGAGUAUCAUCUAUUUGAAAAUGGAUAAUUCAGACAGAGAGAUGAUUUGCAGAGGAAGUGACAGAGAGCACCAG